rnacentral:rRNA from 1 species
GAUUCCCUCAGUAGCGGCGAGCGAACGGGGACCAGCCCUUAAGCUGGACAACUGGUAGGAGAAGGCCCUGGAAAGAGCCGCCAUAGUGGGUGAUAGCCCCGUAUCCGAAACCUGAGUCCAGUGAAAUCGAGUAGGACGGGACACGAGACAUCCUGUCUGAACAUGGGGGGACCAUCCUCCAAGGCUAAAUACUCCUGAUUGACCGAUAGUGAACCAGUACCGUGAGGGAAAGGCGAAAAGAACCCCUGUGAGGGGAGUGAAAUAGAUCCUGAAACCGUAUGCGUACAAGCAGUCGGAGCGGACUUGUUCCGUGACGGCGUACCUUUUGUAUAAUGGGUCAGCGACUUAUGUUCAGUGGCGAGGUUAACCGUUUAGGGGAGCCGUAGGGAAACCGAGUCUGAAUAGGGCGAUUUAGUCGCUGGGCAUAGACCCGAAACCGGGCGAUCUAUCCAUGAGCAGGUUGAAGGUUGAGUAACAUCAACUGGAGGACCGAACCCACUGUCGUUGAAAAGCCAGGGGAUGACUUGUGGAUCGGAGUGAAAGGCUAAUCAAGCUCGGAGAUAGCUGGUUCUCCCCGAAAGCUAUUUAGGUAGCGCCUCGGACGAAUACCACAGGGGGUAGAGCACUGUUUCGGCUAGGGGGUCAUCCCGACUUACCAACCCGAUGCAAACUCCGAAUACCUGUGAGUACUAUCCGGGAGACACACGGUGGGUGCUAACGUCCAUCGUGAAGAGGGAAACAACCCAGACCGCCAGCUAAGGUCCCCAAAUACCAGUUAAGUGGGAAACGAUGUGGGAAGGCAUAGACAGCUAGGAGGUUGGCUUAGAAGCAGCCA